rnacentral:antisense_RNA from 1 species
CAAAACCAUGGCGCCGGUUUGGCAUUUUUUUGUAACGUGUACAGUAAAAUAUUGAAGGGGGGGAGUGGGGUGCUAAGAGAAGGACGAAGAGGAGGAAAAAAAAAGAGGAAUAGGAAGAAAAGCAGGAAAAAUGAGCUAAAAUGAAAAUUUAGAAGAAGCUAAAUUAAAAAUAAAAAUAUAGUAACUAAAAGGAUAUAACUUGCAAGUGAGUAUUAUUUUCAGGAUCGACAGAAGUUUUGGUUAUAUUUACACUGUCAUAAAAAAUGAACUUUGUAAACUUUGGGCUAGAACUUUUCCCGGAGUGAAUUUUAUUGAUAUUAGACAAUAAAUUGGAGUUUGAAUGGUGCAAUUCAAACAUGCUGAUGAAUUGAUUUGGAAUCAAGUAAUUGUUAAAAUCAGGCCCAAUAACUUUAUUAACUGGGAAUACUGAAAUAAAAUAAAGAAUAUCUUCUCGUGAAAAUACUAUACUUUUAAGAAUAUAAUUGUCAAAAUUACAGUUAUUUGAUUGAAAGGAAUUACUACCAAUUGGAAUAAGCUCUCCAUGCCCAAAAAGAGUCAGGAAAUCUUUUGAUAAAUUGGAAUUUGAGAAUUUACCGCAAAUUAUAAAUGAAGUUAUUUCAUUAAGGUUUAUAAUGACUGUUUCAUCUUCUAUUUUAUUUAAUUUGAUUUGAGGGUUGAAGAUUAACUCACUUAUAAAAUUCUUCCAAACAAUUUCUUUAAUGGAGUAUCUUAAAGACUUGAUACAAGAAAUUUGUUUUUUGAUAGAACAGAAAUAUGUAAAAUUAACAUUUGCAAGAAUUAAUCGUCUAAAAUUCAGGAAGCAUCCUCCCACAUCAAAUUCCCAAAAAUCUAUACUUUGUUUUUGAAGUUUGUAACCAUCAGGAACCUCAAAUAUUAUUCUCGAGGUAUUUUCCAAAUAAAUAUUACCACGAAAAUAUGAGUACCACAUAAACAUAUUAUUUACAUUCUUUUUGAAAAGCCUUUUUAUCUUAUUAAAAAAUGGUGCAAACAAUAUUGAACUAGUUUUGUAAAAAUCUUUAUAACUUACACGGUUUGUUGGAUUUCUCCCAAUGGCUAAAAUAGAAUUUAAAUCAGAUUCUUCAAAAUUGUGAUAUAUACAUAUUAUAUCACAUUUUAAAGCCAUUUUCCUGAAAUGGUGAGCAUUAAGAUUGCUACAUAGUCCCACAUUUCCAAGUAAUAUAUUAACACAAUUAUUAAUUUUCAUAGUGUAAUUAAAAGAUGGAGAAAAAAUACAAUAUAUAUAUAUAUAUAUAUGUUUUUAAUCGAAA